CUAGCAGAGGUUUGUGGACUACCUCUUUAUGCCACACCAUAUCCACAUCCCUAGCGCUUGACGUACUUGCUGCUAUUGCCAUCUCUACCUUAUUUCCUCCAUUGCCGGUUCGUGGACUACCUCUUCAGGACACGCCGAAUACAUAUCCUCUCCUUCACCAGCUGGUAGUCUCGCCCUUCAAUCAUGCCACUAACAAAUAAAAAGAGAAAACUAUGAUCAAGAUGACAAGUCUUACGACUGUAUGUGAGGAAAGCAAAUAAUUCAUGCUUGUCAAUACCAUAGUGUACAAUUCUAGCAGAAAGCACAUCAUCGUUCUGGAAGAAAAUAGGUGGAAGCAUAAGAAAGCAAUUAAACAAUCUCUCCAGAGGCACUCACAUGGUAAAAUCCAAAACAUCGAAAGCAAUAUAUUAUUUUUGCGAAAUGUACAGGAUUCAAGAAACUGAGUACCAUCAAAAGUAGUCUGCUAUCCAUAUCCAGAACUCCAAUUCUUACAUACUCGCUAAAAGUUUUAUUGGUUGAGAUCAUUUUUGGAUCACCCACCAGCAAGUAUGCAUGGUUCAUAUGUGAAGAGAAACUGACAAUUACAACCAAUAACCAAUUAGCCAACACAUGAAAAACUAUCCUAAACCACUAUGACUACUAUUCACCAAUACCAUAGAUGAUAGCACUAUGCUAUAAGUUUCUUCAUGAUUCACCAUAUAAAAAGAUUAUACCUCUUCUACAUAGCAGCACAAGACGUUCACGCAAGGAAGGAAAAGAGUAAGUUUAAUUUCUUUUCACCUAAUUCUUAUCAAUGGAGAUGGAAAGUGCUCUAGUCUAUUUUUAAUGUUUUAUCUUGUCCACCUAUUUGUA
rnacentral:lncRNA from 1 species